GCCCCGGUGGGGUAGCGGAUAUCCUUUGACACUGCGGAUGUCAAGACCCGGGUUCGAAUCCCGGCCGGGGCG
rnacentral:tRNA from 2 species